rnacentral:rRNA from 1 species
AACCAACAGGGAUUGCCUCAGUAACGGCGAGCGAAGCGGCAAGUGCUCAGAUUUGAAAUCUGGCCCCCUCCGGGGUCCGAGUUGUAAUCUGUAGGGGAUGCUUCGGAGUCGGGCCCGGUCCAAGUCCCCUGGAACGGGGCGUCGCAGAGGGUGAGAAUCCCGUCCGCGGCCGGCGCAAGUCUCCGUGCGAAGCUCCUCCGACGAGUCGAGUUGUUUGGGAAUGCAGCUCUAAAUGGGAGGUAAAUUUCUUCUAAAGCUAAAUACCGGCCAGAGACCGAUAGCGCACAAGUAGAGUGAUCGAAAGAUGAAAAGCACUUUGGAAAGAGAGUUAAAAAGUACGUGAAAUUGUUGAAAGGGAAGCGCUUGCGACCAGACUCGACCGCGGUGGUUCAACCCUCCCAGCGGAGGGCCCACGCCGCCGUGGUCGGGCCAGCAUCGGUUCCGGCGGUCGGAGAAAGGCUUGGGGAACGUGGCUCCCUUCGGGGAGUGUUAUAGCCCCUCGCGCAAUGCGACCUGCCGGGACCGAGGACCGCGCUCCGGCAAGGAUGCUGGCGUAAUGGUCGUAAGCGGCCCGUCUUGAAACACGGACCAAGGAGUCUAACAUCUGUGCGAGUGUUCGGGUGUCAAACCCCUGCGCGUAAUGAAAGUGAACGGAGGUCGGAGCCCUCGGGCGCACGAUCGACCGAUCCUGAUGUCUUCGGAUGGAUUUGAGUAGGAGCACAGCUGUUGGGACCCGAAAGAUGGUGAACUAUGCCUGAGUAGGCCGAAGCCAGCGGAAACGCUGGUGGAGGGUCGCAGCGGUUCUGACGUGCAAAUCGAUCGUCAAACUUGGGUAUAGGGGCGAAAGACUAAUCGAACC